UGGCAUAAGCCAGCUUGACUGCGAGCGUGACGGCGCGAGCAGGUGCGAAAGCAGGUCAUAGUGAUCCGGUGGUUCUGAAUGGAAGGGCCAUCGCUCAACGGAUAAAAGGUACUCCGGGGAUAACAGGCUGAUACCGCCCAAGAGUUCAUAUCGACGGCGGUGUUUGGCACCUCGAUGUCGGCUCAUCACAUCCUGGGGCUGAAGUAGGUCCCAAGGGUAUGGCUGUUCGCCAUUUAAAGUGGUACGCGAGCUGGGUUUAGAACGUCGUGAGACAGUUCGGUCCCUAUCUGCCGUGGGCGCUGGAGAACUGAGGGGGGCUGCUCCUAGUACGAGAGGACCGGAGUGGACGCAUCACUGGUGUUCGGGUUGUCAUGCCAAUGGCACUGCCCGGUAGCUAAAUGCGGAAGAGAUAAGUGCUGAAAGCAUCUAAGCACGAAACUUGCCCCGAGAUGAGUUCUCCCUGAGACUUAGAGUCUCCUGAAGGAACGUUGAAGACGACGACGUUGAUAGGCCGGGUGUGUAAGCGCAGCGAUGCGUUGAGCUAACCGGUACUAAUGAACCGUGAGGCUUAACCUU
rnacentral:rRNA from 1 species